ACAAACAGUUUACACAAUAACACUUCAUUAAACUACACCAUUUUCACAUGAUGAGGAUCACAGCAUUCACUCACAACCAAUUUCAUUAUUGAUUAGAUUAGUUGUUGCAGCUCUAAUAAUAAAUAAUAAACUCAGUGUUUCAAAGAGAAUAAAAUCCCAUAAAGUUUGGAAAGUCACUGUUCCAGCAGUUGUACAGUCGCUCUAUUAAACAUUACUCUACUAUUGAACAUCAGGUAGCUGCUAAGUGUCUCCAUCCAACACUUUAAUCUCAUACAGAGCGUGAGACUGAGAAGAACCACCACACCUAGAGUCCAAACACUUGUCCCUUGAAGUUGGACACCGACCACGAGGGGCAGCGUAACUAUUUAGCAUGCCGGAGUCUCGAUCGUUAUCGGAUUUAACCAGACAAAUUGCUCCACCAACUAAGAACGGCCAUGUACCACCACCCAGCUCAAGUUCCAGCUGUGGAGGAGAAACCAGCUGCAGCUCAAGAUCCAGCUGUGGAGGAGAAACCAGCUGCAGCUCAAGUUCCAGCUGUGGAGAAGAAACCAGCUGCAGCUCAAGUUCCAGCUGUGGAGGAGAAACCAGCACAAGUUUAGAAUUCAGUAAAAGCUCCUUCAGCAUCUGCUUUAAAGGACGAUGAGUGGACAUCUCGUCUGCGGCGGUAGAGG